GACGAACGCUGGCGGCGUGCCUAAUACAUGCAAGUCGAACGCAGUGGGGACGGGUGAGUAACACGUGGGUAACCUCCCAUCAGAGGGGAUAACACUUGGAAACAGGUGCUAAACCGAUACUGAUGGAUGGACCCGCGGGGCAUUAGCUAGUUGGUGAGGUAACGGCUCACCAAGGCCACGAUGCGUAGCCGACGGGACAGGGUGAGCGGCCACACUGGGACUGAGACACGGCCCGUAUUCCUACGGUAGGCAGCAGGAGGGAAUCUUCGGCAAUGGACGAAAGUCUGACCGAUCAACGCCGCGGGAGUGAAGAAGGUUUUCGGAUCGUAAAACUCUGUUGUUAGAGAAGCGGUAUCUAACCAGAAAGCCACGGCUAACUACGUGCCAGCAGCCGCGGUAAUUC
rnacentral:rRNA from 1 species